GAUGAACGCUGGCGGCGUGCCUAAUACAUGCAAGUCGAGCGAACAGACGAGGAGCUUGCUCCUUUGACGUUAGCGGCGGACGGGUGAGUAACACGUAGGUAACCUACCUAUAAGACUGGGGUAACUUCGGGAAACCGGAGCUAAUACCGGAUAAUAUUUCGAACCGCAUGGUUCGAUAGUGAAAGAUGGCUUUGCUAUCACUUAUAGAUGGACCUGCGCCGUAUUAGCUAGUUGGUAAGGUAACGGCUUACCAAGGCAACGAUACGUAGCCGACCUGAGAGGGUGAUCGGCCACACUGGAACUGAGACACGGUCCAGACUCCUACGGGAGGCAGCAGUAGGGAAUCUUCCGCAAUGGGCGAAAGCCUGACGGAGCAACGCCGCGUGAGUGAUGAAGGUCUUCGGAUCGUAAAACUCUGUUAUUAGGGAAGAACAAACGUGUAAGUAACUGUGCACGUCUUGACGGUACCUAAUCAGAAAGCCACGGCUAACUACGUG
rnacentral:rRNA from 1 species